UACGUAGGUGGCAAGCGUUGUCCGGAUUUACUGGGCGUAAAGAGCGCGCAGGCGGUCGUUCAAGUCGCGUGUGAAAGCCCCCGGCUCAACUGGGGAGGGUCACGCGAUACUGAUCGACUCGAAGGCAGGAGAGGGUAGUGGAAUUCCCGGUGUAGUGGUGAAAUGCGCAGAUAUCAGGAGGAACACCAAUGGCGAAGGCAGCUCGCUGGGACGGUACUGACGCUGAGACGCGAAAGCGUGGGGAGCAAACAGG
rnacentral:rRNA from 1 species